rnacentral:lncRNA from 1 species
AUAGGAGAAGGAGAUCUGCGUCGUCGCACUGGUGAAGGUGACCAACGUCGUCGCAUGGGAGAAGGUGAUCUUCGUCUCCGCAUGGGAGAAGGUGAUCUUCGUCGUCGCACGGGAGAAGGUGAUCUUUGUCGUCGCAUAGGAGAAGGUGAUCUUUGUCGUCGCGCGGGAGAAGGUGACCUCCGUCGUCGAAAAGGUGAACUUCUACGGACUGGAGAAUGCAUUCUACGUCGUAUAGGAGAAGGAGAUCUAUAACUUGAGCGAGAUAUGGAUCUUCUCCUCAAAUAAAGUGGCCUCCUAUGAGGAGAACGUCGUGGUGAAU